GCGGAGGAAAAGAAACCAACAGGGAUUGCCUCAGUAACGGCGAGUGAAGCGGCAACAGCUCAAAUUUGAAAGCUGCCAACAGGCCGCGUUGUAAUUUGUAGAAGAUGCUUUGGGUGUCGGCCCAGUCUAAGUUCCUUGGAACAGGACGUCAUAGAGGGUGAGAAUCCCGUACGUGAUUGGUGCCGGUGCCCGUGUAAAGCUCUUUCGACGAGUCGAGUUGUUUGGGAAUGCAGCUCAAAAUGGGUGGUAAAUUUCAUCUAAAGCUAAAUAUUGGCCAGAGACCGAUAGCGCACAAGUAGAGUGAUCGAAAGAUGAAAAGCACUUUGGAAAGAGAGUUAAACAGUACGUGAAAUUGUUGAAAGGGAAGCGCUUGCAACCAGACUUGCGGGCGGUCGAUCAUCCGAGGUUCUCCCCGGUGCACUCGAUCGUUCUCAGGCCAGCAUCGGUUUCGGUGGUGGGAUAAAGGCUGUGGGAAUGUGGCCCUUCGGGGUGUUAUAGCCCACGGUGCAAUGCCGCCUACCGGGACCG
rnacentral:rRNA from 1 species